rnacentral:rRNA from 1 species
CCUANGGGAGGCAGCAGUGGGGAAUUUUGGACAAUGGGGGCAACCCUGAUCCAGCCAUGCCGCGUGAGUGAAGAAGGCCUUCGGGUUGUAAAGCUCUUUCAGCCGGGAAGAAAACGCAUGGGUUAAUACCCUGUGUGGAUGACGGUACCGGAAUAAGAAGCACCGGCUAACUACGUGCCAGCAGCCGCGGUAAUACGUAGGGUGCGAGCGUUAAUCGGAAUUACUGGGCGUAAAGCGUGCGCAGGCGGUUUUGUAAGACAGGCGUGAAAUCCCCGGGCUCAACCUGGGAACUGCGCUUGUGACUGCAAGGCUAGAGUAUGGCAGAGGGGGGUGGAAUUCCACGUGUAGCAGUGAAAUGCGUAGAGAUGUGGAGGAACACCAAUGGCGAAGGCAGCCCCCUGGGCCAAUACUGACGCUCAUGCACGAAAGCGUGGGUAGCAAACAGGAUUAGAUACCCGUNUANUC